UUGAACGCUGGCGGCAGGCCUAACACAUGCAAGUCGAGCGGAUGAAGGGAGCUUGCUCCUGGAUUCAGCGGCGGACGGGUGAGUAAUGCCUAGGAAUCUGCCUGUUAGUGGGGGAUAACGUCCGGAAACGGGCGCUAAUACCGCAUACGUCCUGAGGGAGAAAGUGGGGGUUCUUCGGACCUCACGCUAUCAGAUGAGCCUAGGUCGGAUUAGCUAGUUGGUGGGGUAAAGGCCUACCAAGGCGACGAUCCGUAACUGGUCUGAGAGGAUGAUCAGUCACACUGGAACUGAGACACGGUCCAGACUCCUACGGGAGGCAGCAGUGGGGAAUAUUGGACAAUGGGCGAAAGCCUGAUCCAGACAUGCCGCGUGUGUGAAGAAGGUCUUAGGAUUGUAAAGCACUUUAAGUUGGGAGGAAGGGCAGUAAGUUAAUAACUUGCUGUUUUGACGUUACCAACAGAAUAAGCACCGGCUAACUUCGUG
rnacentral:rRNA from 1 species